GACGAACGCUGGCGGCGUGCCUAAUACAUGCAAGUCGAACGAACCGCGACUGAGUGCUUGCACUUGGUCAAGGUGAGUGGCGAACGGGUGAGUAACACGUGGGUAACCUACCUCAUAGUGGGGGAUAACAGUCGGAAACGACUGCUAAUACCGCAUAGGAAAUAGGAUCACAUGAUCCAGUGAGGAAAGGUGGCGCAAGCUAUCGCUAAGAGAUGGACCCGCGGUGCAUUAGCUAGUUGGUAGGGUAAAGGCCUACCAAGGCGAUGAUGCAUAGCCGACCUGAGAGGGUGAUCGGCCACAUUGGGACUGAGACACGGCCCAAACUCCUACGGGAGGCAGCAGUAGGGAAUCUUCCGCAAUGGACGCAAGUCUGACGGAGCAACGCCGCGUGAGUGAAGAAGGUCUUCGGAUCGUAAAGCUCUGUUGUUAGAGAAGAACAGCGCAUAGAGUAACUGCUAUGCGUGUGACGGUAUCUAACCAGAAAGCCACGGCUAACUACGUG
rnacentral:rRNA from 1 species